AAGAACGCUAGAGGAGUGCGUAAUACAUGCAAGUCGAGAGGCGAAUGGGUGAGUAAAAGUUGGGAGAAAAGGAGUAGGUGGGAGACCGAAAAGAAAAAGAAGAUGAAAGGAGGUAAUUGGGGGGAGGCAAGCCGAGGAGGGGAAGACGGAUUUGGGAGAAGGAGGUCCACAUUAGGAAUGAGAAGAGCCUGAUCAAGAAAUUGGCAGCAGUAAGGAAUAUUGGCCACUGUGCGAAAGCAUGAGCCAGCAAAAAAUCAGGAUGUGAGGAAGGUCCAGAAAUUGUAAAAUAAAGGGAAAGGAGAAGAAUCAAUGGUGAAAACCAGGGUGAAAGAGGAGAAAGACAAGAAUGGAAGAGUCCCGGCCAACAAUCGU
rnacentral:rRNA from 1 species